UACGGGGGGGGGCAAGCGUUUGUUCGGAAUUACUGGGCGUAAAGGGCUCGUAGGCGGCCAACUAAGUCGGAUGUGAAAUCCCCAGGCUUACGCGUGGAACUGCAUCCGAUACUGGAUGGCUUGAAUCCGGGAGAGGGAUGCAGAAUUCCAGGUGUAGCGGUGAAAUGCGUAGAUAUCUGGAGGAAUACCGGUGGCGAAGGCGGCAUCCUGGACCGGCAUUGACGCUGAUGAGCGAAAGCUAGGGGAGCAAACGGG
rnacentral:rRNA from 1 species